rnacentral:rRNA from 1 species
UACGUAGGGGGCUAGCGUUGUCCGGAUUUAUUGGGCGUAAAGAGCGUGUAGGCGGCCAGGUAGGUCUGCUGUGAAAACCUGGGGCUUAACCCCGGGCCUGCAGUGGGUACGGGCAGACUAGAGUGCGGUAGGGGAGACUGGAAUUCCUGGUGUAGCGGUGAAAUGCGCAGAUGUCAGGAGGAACACCGGUGGCGAAGGCGGGAUCCUGGGCCAGUACUGACGCUGAGGAGCGAAAGCGUGGGGAGCAAACAGG